rnacentral:piRNA from 1 species
UGAUUUACCAUCACAAUUUUUACUCGUGUU